ACAUACCUAUGUAUACCGAAGCAUAGAAAACUAUUCUCCAAAAACCUCCACUUAUGUAACCCCAACUAAAAAACUACCUUGUGAAUAUACUGUUAUACGUAAAUAUGUAACUUCGUAUACGUGGUGUGGAGUGGGGUGUCUUUAUAUACCUGUGCACGUCAAGGACGACACUGUCCAAUAGCGUAUCAGCUGCGAAUCUGUCCACAAACAAAAAAGAUACUUUUGUAAAAAAAAUAAAAACAACAAAAACACAGCUAAAGGACAAAGCGACAACGGAAUGUGCGCAAAAGCUGCUAUGUAACACUAACAAUAACAACAACAACGGCCGACCACAAAAGCAACCCCACCACAAAGCAGAGCAGAGCACCCAUUAAGUGGAGCAGCAACAAGCAAGUGAAGGAGAGAGAGCAUCUGAGAAAGUGAGCAAGCGAGCAGCACACGGUAGGCGCCUGGAAGUGGUGUGAUGGAGCACUUGAGUAGCUGAGAAAAUACAUACACACAUACGCACAUACAUAUGUGUGUACUGCUGCAGAGCAUAGUGAAAAAGCCGGUCUCACCGCGGUCUCACAUGCAUGGAAAGUCCCAGUUGGGCUGGCCAAACAGCUCUCAGCAACAUAUUGUUGGUUGGUGUGUGUGCCUUUUGUGGGAAAUUUGAAAAGUGCGCAAGGCAAAGGGGUGGACCAAACGGCACCAACAACAAUAACGAUAACAAAGUCAAAACAAAGGCCGCCGAGUCGGCAACCACCAAGCGGGUUUAUGCGCUCGUUCGUUCGUUGGUUUGUUUGUUGGUAUGCGCGGCGUGUACACAGAGCAACGAUAACAACAGAGCAGAGACAGAACAGAGACUCUUUUGGUGGUAGCCAGGCCAGGCGGGCGAUUCAUUUUUCAACUACUCAGAUUUUUCAUUCAUUCGUCGAAUAAACGUCGACGCUGUCGGUUCAUAGAGACGCAAAUUUUCGCGAGUUUUAUUUGACUAGUGAAAUAAAAAGUUAAAGAAUUUUAUCACUUCGAUUGUAUAGCAGCAGCGAGCUCAAGUGAUCUUUUAAGCGGCAACGGCAACAAGGUGCGCGAGCGAUACUAAUUAGUAGCAAAAAUAAAUAAAUAAAUAAGAAAAAAAAAAUUGUGCGGUUUUUGCGUGGCGCUAAUUGCAAUUUGGCAAUUUGGCCGCUCUAAUCGAGGAAACAAAAUUAAUUACAAAAUUGAAAAAAAAAAAUAAUCGUAGCGAAUCGGUGCUUUUGGAGCGUGUAAUACUCGACAUUAAGCCGGUUUUCUAAUUGUGGGAGCGGCGCGUUGUUUGCUGUUGGUUUUGUGAUUUGUAAUUUAUAAUUUGUGAUUUGUGAUUUUACGCCGCGAAAGUGCGUUUUCAAUCAAUCAACAAACGUUUUGCCAAAAGCAAUAUCAUAAAGCCAACCAAUUAUAAUUGUAGUGCAACAACACACUUACACAUACAUACAUACAUAUAUGAAUGUUUGUUUGUAUGUGUUUGUCUACAAAAAUCAAAGUUAAUUAAAAUUGAAUUGUGGCAUCGGCAGCAAAUCUACAACAAACAACAAUAAUAACAAAUACAGUGGCAGCAAAAGCAUAGCAUAGCAGUGGCAGUGGUAACGGCACCGGCAAUAAGCACAAAAGCGAAAGAGCGCAAAUUAAAAGCAAAUAACGAAUAAUUGAGAAAUCACAAUUGCGACUACGCGUUAAUUAAAUAACAACAACAUUGUAUAUUACAUGCCACCGCAUAAGUUUGUUUGAGAAAAAUCAGCCAACAACAACAACAGGCAUUGUGCAGAAAAUAGCAAAGCAGAAAAUCUUUAUUUCGUGUAACAAAUUAACACAACACUCAGUGAGUAGCGUAUAGUGCGAAUGCAUACUAGUGAAUAUAAAUUAUAAAAAAAAAAUAAUAAUAAUAAUAAUUUGUAACAGUAACGUGCGCGAGAAGUGUGAAAAAAGUGCAUGCAACGUUAAUUGUUUAGAAAAAGCAGCCUGAGAAGAAAGUGUUCAUCGGAACUAAAAUAGAUAAUUCCAAAAAAUUCAACAAUCAAAAGUAGCAUCUUUCAUCUACUAAUCAACACACCAAUUCGCUGUGGCGUUAAAUAGUGUUUAUAAAAUUCGCGUGAAAAGCAAAAUAAAAAUUAGUACUAAACAAAGAAAUAUAAAAACAAACAUUAAAUUUAAUAGCAACAGUUUGCGUAGAAAAAAAAAUAUAUAAUUUAGUGCAAGAAAAUUUACUACGGAGAAAUUAAGAAAAAGUCAUCAAAUUAAACAACAACACAGAUAGUCAAGAAAUAACAAAAAAGAAAAAGUAAGAAAAAAAAUAAAUAAAUCAUCGUUAGCAUAUUUCACGCAUUUUGCUAAAUAUUUAUUAUAAACAACGCGGCAGAGUGCGCAACAAAAGCGCCAUAAAAGUUUCACGCAGUUUUCAACGGUUUUCACACAUACAUAGUUGCUACGGCAUUUUCCUUGUGUGUUGAAAAUUUAUUGCAGUACGAAAGGAAGGCGUCACACGGACAAAUUCGCAUAUGUAAGCAAAUAUUCAAUAUUCAUUCUCUCAAUAUCAUUAUGCGGUUGAGAAAUCUGAUGUAAAAGUUGUAAGUCUUAAGAGCAAUUGGGAACACUUUAUUCACAACUAAAAAGCUAUAUAAUUCAGAUUUGUAAAUGGUUGAAACUGCUUUGGCGGUAAGUUAUAUAUUCACUAGUAGUCAGAAAAAGAGUGACGAUUUUAUCGAACUGUUGAAAAUUUCAGAACAAAAUCAGGUCUAUUAUUCUAAACACUAUUGCAUAAAUAUAAUUCUUCUCAUUAAAAUACUUACUAUAAAUAGUAAGCCUCUGUUAGUCUAGAUUUCUUGAUUAUCUUCUAAUUAUGUUCUUCUUUCUCUGAGAGAAUUUUUUUUAUAGUGAGAUCUGCCAUGUUCAAUAUACAUUUUUUAGUUAAUGAAAUUGAAAGCACAAUUUCGAAGACUCCUUUCAUUUUCGAGUGAAUUCCUGUAUUUUUGGCUCUUUUUUUUCAAGGCAAUGCCGUUCAUACAUGCAACAACGGAUUCACUUUGUGAAAGUAAUGUUUCUUACAUUACUAUUUUAGAAAUAUGUUUUAGACCUGCUAAUAUUUCUACUACUUCUUCUUCUACUUCUCUAGAACUACAGUUCCUGAUAUUUUAUUAAAACUGAUUAUGAAGUUUACUACCAAAUAAUGUCGAUCUAUUACUACUGCAAUCUAAAGCUGCAGACGUAGUGAACUUUGGAGUAAAGCUAGCCAGAUAUUAUAUAAUAGAGCAACGAUUUCAUAUUUUCAUUAUAGUGACUUCUUUUAUCUUUCCAUUAUUCUCUGUAUUUUGUGAUUUUCCGAUAAAAUAGAGAUCCUUUGAAUACUAGGGCUCUUUCCAGCGAGAUGAUAGUAUUUUUUGUAUCAAUGGAUUCCAACAAUUUUCUUAUUAAGCCUGGAGAACGGUGUAAAAAUUCUUACAUAUUUAUGUCUCAUCUUCAUUAAAGUAACUAUGAAGUUUUCUCACAUAUUUUCUACUUUUUGGUAUCAAACCUUAUCUAACCUAAAAAUCUUGAAACAUAAUACCUUUUUUAACUAUAUAGGAUCAAUAUUUUCAGCCCAUCACUGGGAUCUGCUGUUAUGUGUAGAUUAUCUACUUAAAAAUAAAUGAUAUGAAGUACAUUCCAAAAACAUUAUUCUGGCUUUGAGGCCGAUGAGUUUACAUAGGUAAAGACAAUGUAAGACAAUUAAUAUUUUUGGUGUCAUAGGAAAGGAAUUUUUUGCAUUUUUUAUCCAUUAAAGCUUCUUUCUUAUCGUUCCAACUCGAUUUCGGUAUAUUUUUUUUCAAAUGUUUCAAAUGGUGACGACAGGUGGCUUUUGUACUAGUUCGAUGAUAGUAUUCGUUAGGUUAGCUUUAGAAAAUUCACAUUUUCUUAAAUUGAGUACAAAAUUUAUUAUUAUAAUACAGUAUAUAAACAAAAUACUCUGGCUCCACUUUUUGCUAUUUUUACUUACAUCUGGAAGUAUGUAGAACUUUUUUUUUUUUUUGUAUAGUAGGGGGAAACAUCGAAAGCCGGAGUGCGGAACUUUAAUCCGCUAAACCUAACCUACUCCCAACUCAAGACGCUCCCACGGAACCACCAGAUUAAGUAUUACUUCGUGGGAGUGACAAGACAUUCUUAAGUCUCCUCUAUGGCACGGACUGACAGUCAAGUUUUCCACCGAAAAACUACCACCAAGUGCAGUUUCUAACCUGUCCCUUACGUUCAAAAAUCGAGGGCAGUGAAAAAAUACGUGUUCAGAGUCGUGAUAUAAUUUAUGGAGAUAGCUUCUAAAGCACCCAUGUCCACUUAAUAUUUGUGUCAGAUGGAAAUUCAGGUCCCCAUGCUGUCUAUUUAUCCAUGAAUGGAUGUCAGGGAUAAGUCAUGCUGUCUAUUUAUCCAUGAAUGAAUGUCAGGGAUAAGUCUGUGUGUCCACCGUCCUUUGGUUGAGGUUUGCCACCGCUUUUGCCACAUUGUUGUGCUCUUAUUUCUCUCUUUCUUAUUUCUGUUGGUUCUGAUAAUUCGCUUAAUCUUGCGAAUUCGUCACCCUGGAUGUCUAUGGGUGGCAUACUUGCCAAUACUUCAGCUGCUUCGCUAUCCAUUAAGGCUUCUUUCUUAUCGUUCCAACUCGAUUUCGGUAUAAAAUAUUUCAAAUGGGGAUGAUAAGUGGCUUUUGUACUAGUUCGAUGAUAGUAUUCAUUAGGUUAGCUUUAGAAAAUUCACAUUUCUGAAAUUUAGUACAAAACUAAUUUGUAUAUAAUACAAUAUUUUUAUAAAAUAAUGUUCUGACUUUCCCGUUUGCUAUUUUCACUUACACAUGGAAGUAUGUAGAACUGUGUCUAUGUGCAUAUGUAUCAGGUGAAAUGCGAAUGAAAUCAACAUUUCGGUUUGCUUCAUUUGCAAACAACAGAUUUUACGCUUAGUUAAGUGGAAAUUAUUAAACACUUGUGGUCAUGCAAAUACAAACAAACAAACAUACAACAACACCAACAAACAACUGUGAAUGCGUUUAUACGCCUGCAAUCGGCCAUAACCGGCACAGACGCCUACAAAUAUGUGACUCAUUUACAUAGAAUGGCGAGAAAAACAACCGAACAGCGCCGAAAUGUGAAGCGAAAAAUGGCAAACAAAUAAGCAAACAAAUGUGAAAUUAAAUUUGCGAAAAAUUAUAUAUAAAAAUUAAUAAUAAGAAAAACAUUGUGUAUGUGCAAAAAAUUACAAAAGCAAACAAAGCGCACAACAACAACACAUGGCAUAUGACAAUUACUGCUGCUUUAAAUGCGAAAAAAAAUAUUGCAAACAACAACAACAAGUAUAAAAUGCAUACAAGGUAGAAUGUACACUCGAGUGCACCUGAAUGAAAGGAUAUUAAUAAACUGACGCAUAAACCGCAUACACGCACACACACAACCACCGCUAUGCAAAUGUAAAUACAAAUAAACACAUGUGUGUGUGUGUGUGCAUGUUGCACAAGUGUCGGCUACACUGUAAAUCAACAUCAUGCAACACGACUGUAAGUAAAUAAUUUCCAUUCGAAUGAGCAAUUGUGCAUUUCGAAGGACCCCAACAAUCAUCCUCACUUGCCUCAGCCUUAACUCACGCAUUAUCCCACUUUGGUUGUAGCCGCUGCUAGGUGCCCAGCAAAGCGUCCAGCGCCGGCACCGAGGUCGUCCGCGCGUCCAUUCUGCGUUCAUGUUGCAACAUUGUUGUUUGUAUGUUGAAUGCACACUUUUUUUGCGGCAUUCGCGCUCGAAUUCACUACGCGCUACAUCUCGCCUCGCUUCCCUCCAGUGUAAAUCACAUGAAAUUUUAUUAAAAUGAAGUAAAUACAGUGUAAAGUGCUGAUAAUAAUUCUUGCGUUAAAUGCAUGCCACACAAACAUGGUUCAUGCAAUCGGUUCAUGCAACAAAUGCGAUUCAUGCCGCCGCCGCCGCAUUGAAAUCGAAUGCACAGCAAUCUGUGCCGCAUUGCUGUGCGCAUAUUUAUGCACUCACUCACCAUACCUCACUGUCGCCACUAUGAACUCUUCUUUGAAAAAAUGCACUGUCACCACCGUUGGACUUUCGGCAACCAGCGCACCUUUGCUCUCUUUUCACAUAAUUCUCAUUAUUUAAUAUUUAAAUAAUGGUAAUGAUUACUCCGUAUGCUCUCAGCCGUGCAUAUAUUUGUGCACUGUGAUUGCUUUUUAAAUGCGUUUAACUGCAUUUUCAUCAUCGCGUUGCACAAAUGAAACCGCAAAGUCAAUAACUUUUGUAAUUACAUAUGCAACUGUUUGCCACAAUCCUGAGAACGUGCAACCUGCCGCAAUGUGGACAAGGACACGGCGCAUAUAAUUUACUCCUUCGGAAAUAUAUUAGUUCCUACUUAGGCUUCAAUUUAUAAAAGGUUUUUAAACUUCAUAUAGGUUCGGACGAGUUUCUCGCGUAGUUUGUGGUGUGUAUCUUAGGUGAUCUCUCAUUUGGUUAUUCAGUGUUCAGCUGUGCUUAGUUUUCACUAGGGUUUCGGAAGAGUUCCUUUGCUAAAUCUGGUGGGCAUGCUCUUACUGAUUUUAAUACACCUCCAUAAGGGUAGAGGCCUUAACUUUUUGCUUCAAACUAAGAUUUUAUUUUUUUUUUGGUUUGGAGAAGACUCACACCAGAGAUCAUCUUGAAUCAUAUAUAUUGUUAGAUCAAGGUUUCUUGUUUUUUAAGACAUUGGGUAGACAAUGAACUCUAGACAUUACCGAAAUAUUUUUUCGUAAGAAAGAAUUUUUCAGGGAACUAACUCGUGGUGAUUCACUAAAUGUUGGAGUUGAGAUAUAAAAUAAAGGAUCUAUAGUUUUGUGAAUUUUUAAUGACUAAGCGUCUCUCUUCUAUUUCUUAUAUGCUUUCCGGAUAAAACUACAUACAUAGGUAUGUAUAUCUCCCUCUUUCUUACUGAUAUUCUGAAUGUUCGAUUGCGAUGUAUCGAUGAUGUUGACGAUGAAGACGAAAAAUUGUUAUCCGUUGUUGAUUGGGGUACGAUAUUCGAGUUUUUAUACUCUCGCAACAAAAGUUGCUAAGAGAGUAUUAUAGUUUUGUUCACAUAACGGUUGUUUGUGAGUCAUAAAACUAAACGAGUUAGAUAUAGGGUUAAAUAUAUCAAAAUGAUCAGGGUGACGAGACGAGUUAAAAUCCGAAUGUCUGUCUGUCCGUCUGUACUACCUUUAUAGUGUGGCAGCCGCAUUCUAAAAAUCGCCGAAAUCGGACCAUAGGUUUUCAAGGCCCCAUUAAUCGAACAUCAGGACCUCGGUGCUUCUAACCUAAUAUUAUGGUUUCCAACUUUCAAUGGACUUUAUACAAUAUAUAUGACGAAUAUGUGGAUCAAAUUGUGUAUUAUAAAAUAUAAAUAAAGUUAAAUAUAUAAAUUGCGAGAGUAUAAAAUGUUCGGUUGCACCCGAACUUAGCCCUUCCUUACUUGUUAAGAUAUCGUUUUGAAAUUUUGCAGAUAUUAUUUUUUCUUCAAGAAGCUGCUCAUUUGUCGGAACUGCCGAUAUCGGACCACUAUAUAAUAUAGCUGCCAUACAAACUGAACGAUCGGAAUCAAGGGCUUGUAUGGAAAACUUCCGCAUUCUACUACAUAUCUUCACGAAAUUUGGUGUGAGUUAUUGCUCAUUGAAAUAAUUUAAUCUCCGAAAAAAUUGUUCAGAUCGGUUCACUACAGCAUAUAGCUGCCAUACAAACUGAACGAUCGGAAUCAAGGGCUUGUAUGGACAACUUCCGCAUUCUACUACAUAUCUUCACGAAAUUUGGUGUGAGUUAUUGUUCAUAGAAAUAAUUUAAUCUCCGAAAAAAUUGUUCAGAUCGGUUCACUAUAGCAUAUAGCUGCCAUACAAACUGAACGAUCGGAAUCAAGGGCUUGUUUUUUACUUACUUUUUCUUACGUCUUUAAAUUUGCUUAAACACAUAGUUACUACAAGAAAUGCACCUAUGAAGGGUAUAUUAGCUCCGGUACAGCCGAAGUUAACGUUAUUUCUUGUUUUUAACUAAGAUUUUCGUUUUUGUUUCAAUGAAGAUUCACACCAGAGAUGAUCGGUUGCCAUAUAUAUUUUCUGUUUUUUAUCGAUGUGGGUAAUGAACUCAAGACAUUACCAAACACUGUUUAAUAAAACUAUGACAAUUAUAUGGAUUUUCAUUAGAAAGGAUUUUAAAGGAAUAUAUUGUAUUGAUUCGCUAAAUGUUUGAAUUGGGGAUAAAAUAAAAGAUUCCUAAUUUUAUGAGUUUAAGUUCUUGAUGUUUAAGAGUCUUUAACCAUUCUCUUACUGAGCCUGAUAGAUUUAGAGGAGAAGUAUCUAUGUUAGUGAUGAUGAAUACGAAAAAUUUGUCCCCCCGUUGUUAAUUGGGGGGCGAUAAUCGAUUUUCUUUUAUUUGUUUUUUGGGGCUGUAUAGUUGCAUUCUUUGCCUUUUUCUAUACUUUCCAUUUGAAGUCUUUCUCGUAAUUGCCCUUAUUACUUUCCAAUGUUGUUUUUGUAGUAGUUGUUGUUUGUUGUAUCGACAGAAAACAUUCUCCAAAAAGUUUUGUGAAAUGAUACCAUGUUGAUAGUUCUCGACCGUAUUAUAAUCUGGCUGGUUUCGGAUUUAUAAACUCAUCUGUCGUGGUUACAGUGUGAAUGUUUUGCAUCUUAGUUGAGUUCCCACAUUAGUUCCCAACAUAUUACAUUUUCCUGGAAUAUAUGACUGUUUUAAGUAUGGAAUCCAAUACUAUGGAGUCUUAUAGGUUUCUCAAGUGUUUGCUUUGUUUCUAUGAUAGUUUUCUUAUGAG